rfam:Alphaproteobacteria bacterium CG1_02_46_17 cg1_0.2_scaffold_3685_c, whole genome shotgun sequence.
CCUGGUGGCUAUACCAAGUGUGAAACACGCCAUCCCAUCUCGAACUGGAUUGUGAAAAACCUUCGGGCCGAUUGUACUAUGUCUUAAGGCAUGGGAGAGUAGGUCGUUGCCAGGU